CCUACGGGCUGCUGCAGUGGGGAAUAUUGGACAAUGGGGGCAACCCUGAUCCAGCCAUGCCGCGUGUGUGAAGAAGGCCCUCGGGUUGUAAAGCACUUUCAGUGAGGAAGAACGCCUGGUGGUUAAUACCCAUCAGGAAAGACAUCACUCACAGAAGAAGCACCGGCUAACUCCGUGCCAGCAGCCGCGGUAAUACGGAGGGUGCGAGCGUUAAUCGGAAUUACUGGGCGUAAAGCGCGCGUAGGUGGCUUGAUAAGCCGGUUGUGAAAGCCCCGGGCUCAACCUGGGAACGGCAUCCGGAACUGUCAAGCUAGAGUGCAGGAGAGGAAGGUAGAAUUCCCGGUGUAGAGGUGAAAUGCGUAGAGAUCGGGAGGAAUACCAGUGGCGAAGGCGGCCUUCUGGACUGACACUGACACUGAGGUGCGAAAGCGUGGGUAGCAAACAGGAUUAGAUACCCUUGUAGUC
rnacentral:rRNA from 1 species